rnacentral:sRNA from 1 species
GGGUUGAAACCCGAGCGCCGCCAAGAUGCCGGCUUACCACUCUUCUCUCAUGGAUCCUGACACCAAACUCAUCGGAAACAUGGCACUGUUGCCUAUCAGAAGUCAAUUCAAAGGACCUGCCCCCAGAGAGAGGCAAUGAGCUGGGAUGAAGACAACUGAAUAGCAGAGUAUGAAAGCUUCACGAUUACUUUGCAUUUCUGCUGUGCGAGAACGUUAACAGUCAUAGACAAGAAGUAUAAAUAACUGUCUCAGCACUGCUGAAACCAGCUGCCAGAUAUCAAGACCCUGGGAUUUUGACCUUUUUAAAAUAAGAAGGAAAACAAAAAAUUGCCAAACAAAUUGUGUCAUGAGAUCUGUCUUUGUCAAGACAGUAUUUCUGGCUUUUGUCCGUCUAGAGCUACCUACAACAGCUUGUACAAGUAUAUUUUAAGUCAUAGUUUUCAUAAAAAGAAAGAUGUGUAUCUGAACCUCAACAUGUUCUAAAUAAUUGAGUUUUUUUCUGAAACUGUAAUAUGUAAAUUCAAAUAAAAUUACAUUGAAUACUUUUUAUUU